rnacentral:rRNA from 1 species
UGGGGAAUUUUGGACAAUGGGCGAAAGCCUGAUCCAGCAAUGCCGCGUGUGUGAAGAAGGCCUUCGGGUUGUAAAGCACUUUUGUCCGGAAAGAAAUCCUUGGCUCUAAUACAGUCGGGGGAUGACGGUACCGGAAGAAUAAGCACCGGCUAACUACGUGCCAGCAGCCGCGGUAAUACGUAGGGUGCAAGCGUUAAUCGGAAUUACUGGGCGUAAAGCGUGCGCAGGCGGUUUGCUAAGACCGAUGUGAAAUCCCCGGGCUCAACCUGGGAACUGCAUUGGUGACUGGCAGGCUAGAGUAUGGCAGAGGGGGGUAGAAUUCCACGUGUAGCAGUGAAAUGCGUAGAGAUGUGGAGGAAUACCGAUGGCGAAGGCAGCCCCCUGGGCCAAUACUGACGCUCAUGCACGAAAGCGUGGGGAGCAAACAGGAUUAGAUACCCUGGUAGUCCACGCCCUAAACGAUGUCAACUAGUUGUGGGGAUUCAUUUCCUUAGUAACGUAGCUAACGCGUGAAGUUGACCGCCUGGGGAGUACGGUCGCAAGAUUAAAACUCAAAGGAAUUGACGGGGUCAUAGCU